rnacentral:rRNA from 1 species
UACGGAGGGUGCAAGCGUUACUCGGAAUUACUGGGCGUAAAGCGCAUGUAGGCGGUCGCUUAAGUCCGAUGUGAAAUCCCUGGACUCAAUCCAGGAAGUGCAUUGGAUACUGAGAGACUGGAGUAUAGGAGAGGUGAGCGGAAUUCCAGGUGUAGAGGUGAAAUUCGUAGAUAUCUGGAGGAACAACAGAGGCGAAGGCGGCUCACUGGACUAUAACUGACGCUGAGAUGCGAAAGCGUGGGGAGCAAACAGG